rnacentral:tRNA from 1 species
GGGCCGUUAGCUCAGCUGGUAGAGCAGCGGACUUUUAAUCCGUCGGUCCCAGGUUCGAGUCCUGGACGGCCCACCA